GCUUCCUUGGCUUAGUGGCAGGGCGUCGCACUCGUAAUGCGAAGAUCACCAGUUCAAUUCUGGUAGGAAGCA